rnacentral:rRNA from 1 species
AUUGAACGCUGGCGGCAGGCCUAACACAUGCAAGUCGAACGAGUGGCGGACGGGUGAGUUAUGUCUGGGAAUCGUCCUGAUGGAGGGGGAUAACUACUGGAAACGGUAUCUAAUACCGCAUACAAUCAUAUGUGCCUCGAUGGUUUUAGCUAGUUGGUGGGGUAAAGGCCUACCAAGGCGACGAUCCGUAACUGGUCUGAGAGGAUGAUCAGGCAAACUGGAACUGAGACACGGUCCAGACACCUACGGGAGGCAGCAGUGGGGAAGAUGGGACAAUGGGCGAAAGCCUGAUGCAGCCAUGCCGCGUGUGUGAAGAAGGUCUUCGGAUUGUAAAGCACUUUAAGUUGGGAGGCGUUACCAACAGAAGAAGCACCGGCUAACUCCGUGCCAGCCGCCGCGGUAAUAC